UUGCGGAGCGUCGGUAACGACACUUGGUGAACGCAGGACCAAAUCAGGGGAGCGCGCACAGGAUGUGCGCGCUAGCCGAACUGAAACAGGAGGUUGAAUUGAGGCGACCCUGAUUUGGCCCGCAGUGAACCUCAGUGUCGUCGACGUGGAGCAG
rfam:Desulfotomaculum ferrireducens strain GSS09, complete genome.